rnacentral:rRNA from 1 species
UGGGGAAUAUUGCACAAUGGGCGCAAGCCUGAUGCAGCCAUGCCGCGUGUGUGAAGAAGGCCUUCGGGUUGUAAAGCACUUUCAGCGGGGAGGAAGGCGAUAAGGUUAAUAACCUUGUCGAUUGCCGUUACCCGCAGAAGAAGCACCGGCUAACUCCGUGCCAGCAGCCGCGGUAAUACGGAGGGUGCAAGCGUUAAUCGGAAUUACUGGGCGUAAAGCGCACGCAGGCGGUCUGUCAAGUCGGAUGUGAAAUCCCCGGGCUCAACCUGGGAACUGCAUUCGAAACUGGCAGGCUAGAGUCUUGUAGAGGGGGGUAGAAUGCCAGGGGUAGCGGUGAAAUGCGUAGAGAUCUGGGGGAAUACCGGUGGCGAAGGCGGCCCCCUGGACAAAGACUGACGCUCAGGGGCGAAAGGGUGGGGAGCAAACAGG